AAGACUAUAGACCUGCGGAGUACCUGCGGAAGGAUCAUUAGUAAAGGAAAAGGCGAGAUUAAAUCUCAACCCUUUCCGAAUCCUGUAUUCACCCCAAGUUCCUAAAAAUUUUUACCAUGAAAAACUUGCAAGAAAGACCAUCCACGAACGGAUGGCGUUUAAUGCAAAACGAAAACUUUCAACAAUGGAUCUCU
rnacentral:misc_RNA from 1 species